AACUCCGGCCGGGAGGAUCAAAGGCGUAGGAGGAGUUUGUAUACCAAACCAUGUUGCCUUGGCGGCGCCGUACAGGCCCCAAAAACCGCCAGAGGACCUGAAACCCUAGCAUCUCUGCUGUCUGAGUCGCUAUAUAAUAGUUAAAACUUUCAACAACGGAUCUCUUGGUUCUGGCAUCGAUGAAGAACGCAGCGAAAUGCGAUAAGUAAUGUGAAUUGCAGAUAUCAGUGAAUCAUCGAAUCUUUGAACGCACAUUGCACCUCCUGGCAUUCCAGGAGGUAUGCCUGUUCGAGCGUCAUUACAACCCUCACGCACAGCGUGGUGUUGGGCUCGCCCUUGAGGGCCUGCCUCAAAUGCAGUGGCGGCACCGUAUAACCCCUAAGCGUAGUACUGCUCGUCGCUUGUGGGCGUUGGGCGGCGGCCUGUCAGGAACCCCUACAUCUUAUGGUUGACCUCGGAUCAGGUAGGGAUACCCGCUGAACUUAAGCAUAUCAAUAAGCGGAGGAA
rnacentral:rRNA from 1 species